GGAGAAAAAAGCAAUUAUCCAUGUAAAAGUGGCAGGCGCCUAUAGCUCAAUGAAUUCUUUAGAAAAAAUGAUAAUGCCUGCAAUACACAAGGGUCUGUAUUGAAGUCUGGGGGUGCCCAGUUUGUUGUAGGCUGAAAGUAUGAUAAAGUUAGUGCUCAUGUUACUUGAAAUUGCUCUAAUUUCAGUAUCAAAGAAUAAAGUUACAUGUGUUUCUAUGGGGUUGACUGAUAAGAUAUAAUUUGAUGUAGAAAUAAUAAUAAUAAUGAUGAUGAGCACAAUUCAAUGUAACACAGCAGUAAAAAAGUGAUGAGUCAUUUAAAUUAUUGUAGACAUCCAAACAUCCACAUGUCCGUGAAUAAUUUUGAAUCAUUUGGAAGGCUGUUAAAAAGGUAACUAAACUUCUCCAAUAAGUCAUUGUUAAAGGGCUUUUAUUAAACACAGUGGUAUUGAGAUGUAUUUUACCUUGACUGGUUCAACUGGGCAUUUUGUAACCUUGAAUCACACAGUAAACUGACACAGACUGUAUGCUUUAUCUUCAGUAGGCAAGUGAAAAGUACAGAGAGCCUCUGUCUCGAGCAGAAAAGGUCAUUUUUCAAUGAAAAGACUCAAUUUAAUGCCUCAGUUCUUACUUUCUGUCUACACAUCAUAAAACUCAGCAUUGAUGUUAUGUAAGUCUACACUCAUCAGAGCUAAUUUAACAUCUAAAUAUUGAACAGCUGCCCGAGAGCAUUAUUGGGUCUGUGAGUGGAGAAACAACACCCCAAUCAACAAAUAAUCCAAAUAAUUGUAACAAAAGAAUCGACACUGAUUAACACUGGGAAGUUUACUGUGGGGGCAUGUUCGCACCUGUGCAUGCGGCAAACACAACACCAGUAGCACACAAUGUACACAGAAAGACAUCAUUUCAAACGUGGUGGAUUGACUGUAUGUGGUUUGCACCAACUGCCAUGACAGUCUGCACAGAGGGACUUAUCUCACACACAGCGUCCUUGCUAUACUCCCUUUAUCUACUUUUUGCAGAGGCACCACUUCCUAUUCCUUCUGCAGGGAGAAAAGACGAGUAUGUCGCACCCAUGCAAUCAUUUUCUCUCAGCACAUCCACCAUCCAUCUUAUCUACAUGAUCGGCAUUAUUGAUUUAGUUACUACAUAACCUCUGACAAUGAUUUAUGCCUUGUUGAUCGCACAGAACGGACGGCUGAUAUGCACUGUAUCCAUGACCUUCAUGAAUCGCAGCGAGCCCUGCGGAUUUCAGCAUAGCUAGAGAGGGUUACAGCCAGGGACACUUUGAUUCUAGUCAAUUGCUGAUGGAGGACUCAUCCAUUUUGGGCAUUCAGGUAUUGGAUUUGGCUUUGAGGAAAGGACAAGGAGCAGGAAAUGGAAAUGAGCAAAAGCCAAGAUUUUGCACAACAGAUGUAAGAGGUGGAAUAAAACAGAAGGGAUGAUGAGGUCAGUCACAAACUGAGCUUGUGGCUUUAAGCGGCCAAUAAGGAUCGAUAUCAAGUGGCUGUGCCGCAAAAACAAGAAAUUUCAAGAUUCAACAAUCAAUAAUUUAUUAAUGUAUCAACCAAAACUACAAGGACAUGCAUACACCAAACCUGACUUUCUAUUUUUUAUAAAUAACAAACCGAGGAACCUCAAGCAGUCUGAGCCCUGUUCUCAAAUUAAAAAGCCAAUUGUGACUGAAAGGCAUUCCUGCAGCAGAAAUCAGUAGAAAGCAAAUAAAAAAUUGCACCCAUCCCCCACAAAACAAAAUGCAUUCUGAAUAAUGAUGAAUAAUCAUCGACUGAUCUCUAGACUGUGUGGCGCAUGAGCCCUUCCUGUCCCUCUCCUGUCUUCAGUCCACAAGCAGCUUUUCUCUCCAGGUCAAAGUUGAGUGGUUUGUCUCAGCACCCUACCCCCUCUCCAACCCCGUAAAUGCCCACAAUGCACCAGCGAGGAAACCACACAACCCCUUUUGUUCUGCAGAAAUGCAGGAAAACACACACUCACAGGCGCACACACACGUCCAUUUAAGACGUGGCAUCACACUCAUGCCUUCAUGUCUCAGAUGAGUUUACUUUCUGAAGCAUGAGCUUGCAAUAGCUCCGUCUCUCCACAAUUACGUAAUAAAACGCAACAUGUGGAUUUACGUGUGUGUGUGUGUGUGUGUACCUCCAUGUGUAUGCAUAUGUCAAUGUGUGUGAAAAAAAAUUAAAUAAAAAACUUCACAAAUCAGAACCUGUAACCCGAGUCCCCUCCUCUCGGGUGACCUGGCGGGUGUCCUGACCCGUUUCAGUUUACGCACAGAGGUCAGGAAAGGGCACGGCCAGGGAGAGGGAACGAGAGAACUUCGGGGGGGAGUACAAAAUGGAGGAGUGGCCAGGAGCAGGAGGGGAGGUGGAGGAGGGUUCAUGGAAAUGCCUCCAGCGCAUUCUGUUCAGCUCCAGUGGAGGAGCAACUCCUGAUCAGUGGCUGGACCUGGGGGGAGCCCAAGAACAAAACCCCCAUUUGAUCAGGAGCCCCACAGGUCAGCAGCAGAAAUCCAGGGGUCAGCAGUAUAACCAUCCCAGCACCACCCCCUGCCCGACUGGCGGACCACACCAGCUCUCUAACUCCACCAGCAGCCACUGUCAUCCUAGAAACUGAAGAAACUGAGCUAACAAAAUGGACACCGACAUACUCUAAAAUGGCUUGAUUAUGCUUACUUGCUUCCUUAUAUGUAAUAAAUAUCUUUCUAUAGCUCUA